GCUUGCCUCAAUCACGGAAACUACAAUUCAGAUUCCAUCGUAAGCCUUCAGCCUCCGCCUCAGGAUUUGGGGCAGAUCUAUACUUUCGGUCGCUCGCCCGUUCUUCCCAAAAAGAGAAACGGUUUGUUCUCAAACCCCAUCAAGGCGCAGCAUUGGGCGUAUGAAAGCACAGCUCCCUCAGCUGGUGGAUAUCAAACGCUCAGCAGGGACCCUGUCCAGAAAGAGGCCACUGCAGCGCCUCAGUCCAUUCUGGUCAAACCAGACGCUCAUAAGCACAACACAGAGAAGCCGGUAAAGUCAGUGCGGUUCCUGACUCACGAUGCUCCUCAGACAUCAAAAGUGACAUCCACUUCACCUGCAGGACAAAUCUCGAGUUCCCAGCCUGGUCUUUCGGCUCUAGACCACUGGAACCCUUCAGCCAUCUUGGGUCGGGAUGGAAGUACAUUAGUUUUUAAAGACACAAAAACACCCAGAAAGAGCUCAGGCCCGGAUCAUGCUUCGAUGGACUGCCUCUCGCUAAAUAUGAAGCCAGUCCUGAUCAACAACCAGCCCGGAUCUAACAGGUGGGUUUUCCUAAGUGUGUCUUUAAAUGAAGUAUAGCGUUAUCUGAUCAAAUGGCUCUUGUGUUGCAAACGAGCUUUCCAUGAGUGGCAGAUUUUUUUCUCUUACAUCGGAAAAUCAUCAGUUAGCAGAAACAGUAUUUUUGCGAGAUUUAAUGAGAUAAUUCACAGAAACUGUUUAAACAGAAAAAAACAUUUCCUGUCAGAAUCUGAAGAAGCAUUUAGAUAUCUUGUAAAGCACAUCCUGGCGUUUUGCGUUGGGUGCAUUCUGACCCGGUGCAUUCUGCUCUGAUUUCUUCAGAUACAGAGUGAUGGAAGGUUACAACGCUAGAACAGAUGCAGAGCUCACGCUGACGGAAGGAGAAAUAGUCGUCGUUCAGAGGCCUCGAGCGGACGGAAGGAUUCUCGUGACCCAGGAGAUCAGUGGAAAAACGGGCCUUUUCCACAGCAGCGUUUUAGAAAUCCUAGACAAACUCCUUUGAGUGCCACAGUCUCUUCUGCACACGUUCUGUGUCCAGUGCUGUGUUCACAGUCACACAGUUUUAGCCUAUUGUGUCAUAAACCUAAAUUAAAAGCAAUAUCCUGUGUAAUAUGUCACUUCCUGUUGCCAGUAGGUGGCGCUAUGACUAUAACUGAAUAUGGGCAUAUCAAUCUGUUCAGGUCAGGAGUCUUAUCAAACAUGUGAUGUUUGGGGCAGAUUGGACAUUGUAUGUCUGAGUUAUAGCAACUUCUAAAAGUAAUGGCCAUUUUCAGGUAACUUUUCUUUU
rnacentral:lncRNA from 1 species